rnacentral:rRNA from 1 species
CAGUCGUACCUGCGGAUAAUCAGCUUUUUGAGUGUGAUUAUGUGGUUUAUGAGGAGUUUAACCGCCUUCAUGUAUUGCAUAUUUGUGCUCUUGGGUGUACUUGCCCGUGUGGUUGGUUAACAUCAAUUUUGGUGGUCAUAAAAUGACUGGAGGAAUGUAGCUUCGAUCUCGUAUUGAAGUGUUAUAGCCUUCGGUAGAUGUGAUGAUCGAGUAUUGGAGGUAUUGCAACGGA